rfam:Catenaria anguillulae PL171 BCR44scaffold_3, whole genome shotgun sequence.
GGGCGCGUAGAUCAGUGGCUAGAUCGUCGGUUUCCGGUACCGAAGGCCGGGAGUUCGAACCUCCCCGUGCUCG